rnacentral:lncRNA from 1 species
GUAAUUUCUCCAAAAAUUAAAUCUAAUUCUCCACAAUUUGUUGAAACUAUUUGUUGAAGACGAAGAUGUAUGGCAGAGAUUAAAGGAUCGUUCUGUAGUUUUCGGUGGGCCGAGCUAUCUCGAAUUCUGAUAUGAAGUCUAUGUCGACUAACACUCUCUCACCUUUUUCCGCAAUCACAUCUAUGUACUCAUAUUCCCCUGUAUACAAAAGUACAAACACAUAAAUCCAAUGAACACCUACAAAUGGUUUAUACAGAAG